rnacentral:rRNA from 1 species
UACGUAGGGGGGCUAGCGUUGUCCGGAAUCAUUGGGCGUAAAGCGCGUGUAGGCGGCCCGGUAAGUCCGCUGUGAAAGUCGGGGGCUCAACCCUCGAAUGCCGGUGGAUACUGUCGGGCUCGAGUGCGGAAGAGGCGAGUGGAAUUCCUGGUGUAGCGGGUGAAAUGCGCAGAUAUCAGGAGGAACACCGAUUGCGAAGGCAGCUCGCUGGGACGUUACUGACGCUGAGACGCGAAAGCGUGGGGAGCAAACAGG